rnacentral:rRNA from 1 species
AUUGAACGCUGGCGGCAGGCUUAACACAUGCAAGUCGAGCGAGCGGCGGACGGGUGAGUAAUGUCUGGGAAACUGCCUGAUGGAGGGGGAUAACUACUGGAAACGGUAGCUAAUACCGCAUACCAUCGGAUGUGCCCAGAUGGGGUUAGCUAGUAGGUGGGGUAACGGCUCACCUAGGCGACGAUCCCUAGCUGGUAUGAGAGGAUGACCAUCCACACUGGAAUGGGAGCCCGGUCCAUGCUCCUACGGGAGGCAGCAGUGGGGAAUAGUGCACAAUGGGGGCAAGCCGGAUGCGGCCAUGCCGCGUGUAUGAAAAAGGCCUUCGGGUUGUAAAGCACUUUCAGCGAGGAGGCGUUACUCGCAGAAGAAGCACCGGCUAACUCCGUGCCAGCAGCCGCGGUAAUAC